rnacentral:lncRNA from 1 species
CUGCUGAAAACUGUUGAGUGUCAUCCGUGCCUGCUUUUUUAGUCAAGAAAGCUGACCACCUCACAACCAGAAACCAGACUUUCAGCCUUACGGCCAGGCAUUGCAGCAGAUUCUCUCUCUUACUCGGUACAAGAGUACAAAUUUUCACAAGGCCUCCGGAGCACAGAGCUGUCCCACAUCGCACCCACAGCCUUGCCUAAGGCUGUUGAGUAGGUUGGACACACUGCUUACAGAGGAGUGGCGCUGGUGAGAGGCCUCCCUCAUGUGAACAUGGCUGUCAGGAGCUCACGCCACCAGAAGAAGCGAGGCCUACAAGAGUCCAGGGAACUGCAUGCCCCACCAUGUCUGUUAGAUGUGCAUACAGCUUGCAAAAACAGAAAAAGGAGGUGGGAUAUCAAGCUUGCAAGGAAUCUCUCUCUUAUUUACUGAAGUCAUCCUCAUCACACAGGAAGGACAUUGCGUGACAAAGCAAGUACUGGAAUGGAGAAAAGAUCUUAGGAGACUGGCAGGUGAAAGCUGAAUGCCUGUUGGAAGUGACACAUAUGCACCUCCCCCCCAGUGCUUCUGAAAUAGAGGAGAUUUGUGGUGUAUAUUUUUGACAGGACAACAAAAAAUAAGGCCUGAUUAAAUGAAUCUGUGACUUGUUUCCACCUGCAAAGUGGGCCUCCCCAGACUGAGCAAACUGGAAGUGACUCAUAAUCACAAUCAAGGAAUAAUGAAGUUCUUAUAAGAAUUACCUAUCUAAUCAGCAGGGAUCUGGACUUGACAACCCAGGCCUGCCUGACUGAAAUAGACUUUAUACUUUAUCUGCCAAUGUGAGGAGCAUGAAAACAGGAAAAAGAGAACUGUCUGAUAGAUAUUUUAGCGUGUGCCUCCUCUUUGUACCCAUCAGCUUGCAAUCUGAUGGCAGUAUUUGGUAGACCAGAAAAUUCUGAUGUACGUCUCCCAAGGACAUGCCUAACAUCUUGUUCACGUAAGUGACUUCUUGCUCAUGUAAGUGACUUUGAUCCAACUCCACAAAAUAAAUAAAAAAAUAAAUAAACA